CGUGAGCAAUCUGCCUUGGAGUGGGGAAUAACGGUUGGAAACAGCCGCUAAUACCGCAUGAUGCGUCUGGGAGGCAUCUCUCUGGACGCCAAAGAUUUAUCGCUCUGAGAUGAGCUCGCGUCUGAUUAGCUUGUUGGCGGGGUAAAGGCCCACCAAGGCGACGAUCAGUAGCCGGACUGAGAGGUUGACCGGCCACAUUGGGACUGAGAUACGGCCCAGACUCCUACGGGAGGCAGCAG
rnacentral:rRNA from 1 species